AUUCUACGUGACUUUACCGAAAGAACAAAAGAAGAUGAAUCAUUGCAGUCACGAAAGCUUUAAAUCGUGAUUUAGUACGGUUUAUUAGUGGUUUACUACAGUGUUUUAGUACGGAUUAUUAGGGGUUUACUACAGUGUUUUAGUACGGAGUAUUAGUGGUUUACUACAGUGAUUUAGUACGGAUUAUUAGUGGUCUACUUCAGUGUUUUAGUACGGUUUAUUAGUGGUUUACUACAGUGUUUUAGUACGGAUAAUUAGUGGUUUACUACAGUGAUUUAGUACGGAUUAUUAGUGGUCUAGUACAGUGUUUUAGUACGGAUUAUUAGUGGUUUACUACAGUGUUUUAGUACGGAUAAUUAGUGGUUUACUACAGUGUUUUAGUACAGAUUAUUAGUGGUUUACUACAGUGUUUUAGUACGGAUUAUUAGUGGUCUACUACAGUGAUUUAGUACGGAUUAUUAGUGGUUUACUACAGUGUUUUAGUACAGAUUAUUAGUGGUUUACUACAGUGUUUUAGUACGGAUUAUUAGUGGUCUACUACAGUGUUUUAGUACGGAUUAUUAGUGGUCUACUACUGUGUUUUAGUACGGAUAAUUAGUGGUUUACUACAGUGUUUUAGUACGGAUUAUUAGUGGUUUACUACAGUGUUUUAGUACGGAUUAUUAGUGGUCUAGUACAGUGUUUUAGUACGGAUUAUUAGUGGUCUACUACAGUGUUUUAGUACGGAUUAUUAGUGGUCUACUACAGUGUUUUAGUACGGAUUAUUAGUGGUCUACUACAGUGUUUUAGUACGGAUAAUUAGUGGUUUACUACAGUGUUUUAGUACGGAUUAUUAGUGGUUUACUGCAGUGUUUUAGUACGGAUUAUUAGUGGUUUACUGCAGUGAUUUAGUACGGAUUAUUAGUGGUUUACUACAGUGUUUUAGUACGGAUUAUUAGUGGUUUACUACAGUGAUUUAGUACGGAUUAUUAGUGGUCUACUAGUGUUUUAGUACGGAUUAUUAGUGGUUUACUACAGUGUUUUAGUACGGAUUAUUAGUGGUUUACUACAGUGUUUUAGUACGGAUUAUUAGUGGUCUACUACAGUGUUUUAGUACGGAUUAUUAGUGGUCUACUACAGUGAUUUAGUACGGAUUAUUAGUGGUUUACUACAGUGAUUUAGUACGGAGUAUUAGUGGUUUACUACAGUGUUUUAGUACGGUUUAUUAGUGGUUUACUACAGUGUUUUAGUACGGAUUAUUAGUGGUUUACUACAGUGUUUUAGUACGAUUUAUUAGUGGUUUACUACAGUGUUUUAGUACGGAUUAUUAGUGGUUUACUGCAGUGUUUUAGUACCGAUUAUUAGUGGUCUACUGCAGUGUUUUACUAUGGAUUAUUAGUGGUCUACUACAGUGUUUUAGUACGGUUUAUUAGUGGUUUACUACCGUGUUUUAGUACGGAUAAUUAGUGGUCUACUACAGUGUUUUAGUACGGAUUAUUAGUGGUCUACUACAGUGUUUUAGUACGGUUUAUUAGUGGUUUACUACAGUGUUUUAGUACGGAGUAUUAGUGGUUUACUACAGUCUUUUAGUACGGAUUAUUAGUGGUUUACUACAGUGUUUUAGUACGGAUUAUUAGUGCCGUUUCUAAACAGGAAAAAAACAUUCGUCUUGUUUGUUUGUGUUUCUACGUUGUGAUGGAGACUUUGUAGGAUGAAUGUGGAGAUUUAUAA